CGAUGGAUAGGGGUUCUGAGAGGAAGGUCCCCCACAUUGGAACUGAGACACGGUCCAAACUCCUACGGGAGGCAGCAGUGAGGAAUAUUGGUCAAUGGACGAGAGUCUGAACCAGCCAAGUAGCGUGAAGGAUGACUGCCCUAUGGGUUGUAAACUUCUUUUAUACGGGAAUAAAGUGAGCCACGUGUGGCUUUUUGUAUGUACCGUAUGAAUAAGGAUCGGCUAACUCCGUGCCAGCAGCCGCGGUAAUACGGAGGAUCCGAGCGUUAUCCGGAUUUAUUGGGUUUAAAGGGAGCGUAGAUGGGUUGUUAAGUCAGUUGUGAAAGUUUGCGGCUCAACCGUAAAAUUGCAGUUGAUACUGGCGACCUUGAGUGCAACAGAGGUAGGCGGAAUUCGUGGUGUAGCGGUGAAAUGCUUAGAUAUCACGAAGAACUCCGAUUGCGAAGGCAGCUUACUGGAUUGUAACUGACGCUGAUGCUCGAAAGUGUGGGUAUCAAACAGGAUUAGAUACCCUGGUAGUCCACACAGUAAACGAUGAAUACUCGCUGUUGGCGAUAUACAGUCAGCGGCCAAGCGAAAGCAUUAAGUAUUCCACCUGGGGAGUACGCCGGCAACGGUGAAACUCAAAGGAAUUGACGGGGGCCCGCACAAGCGGAGGAACAUGUGGUUUAAUUCGAUGAUACGCGAGGAACCUUACCCGGGCUUAAAUUGCAACUGACGGAACCGGAAACGGUUCUUUCUUCGGACAGUUGUGAAGGUGCUGCAUGGUUGUCGUCAGCUCGUGCCGUGAGGUGUCGGCUUAAGUGCCAUAACGAGCGCAACCCUUAUCGAUAGUUACUAGCAGGUCAUGCUGAGGACUCUAUUGAGACUGCCGUCGUAAGAUGUGAGGAAGGUGGGGAUGACGUCAAAUCAGCACGGCCCUUACGUCCGGGGCUACACACGUGUUACAAUGG
rnacentral:rRNA from 1 species